GACCAAUCCGGUGGCCUAGUGGUUAGAGCAUCCACCUCAGAUGUGGGAAAUCAUGUGUUCAAACCCUGGCUUAGUCA